rnacentral:rRNA from 1 species
AGUUUGAUCAUGGCUCAGAUUGAACGCUGGCGGCAUGCCUUACACAUGCAAGUCGAACGGCAGCACGGGUGCUUGCACCUGGUGGCGAGUGGCGAACGGGUGAGUAAUACAUCGGAACAUGUCCUGUAGUGGGGGAUAGCCCGGCGAAAGCCGGAUUAAUACCGCAUACGAUCCAUGGAUGAAAGCGGGGGACCUUCGGGCCUCGCGCUAUAGGGUUGGCCGAUGGCUGAUUAGCUAGUUGGUGGGGUAAAGGCCUACCAAGGCGACGAUCAGUAGCUGGUCUGAGAGGACGACCAGCCACACUGGGACUGAGACACGGCCCAGACUCCUACGGGAGGCAGCAGUGGGGAAUUUUGGACAAUGGGCGAAAGCCUGAUCCAGCAAUGCCGCGUGUGUGAAGAAGGCCUUCGGGUUGUAAAGCACUUUUGUCCGGAAAGAAAUCCUUGGUUCUAAUAUAACCGGGGGAUGACGGUACCGGAAGAAUAAGCACCGGCUAACUACGUGCCAGCAGCCGCGGUAAUACGUAGGGUGCGAGCGUUAAUCGGAAUUACUGGGCGUAAAGCGUGCGCAGGCGGUUUGUUAAGACCGAUGUGAAAUCCCCGGGCUCAACCUGGGAACUGCAUUGGUGACUGGCAAGCUAGAGUAUGG